UACGUAGGGGGCUAGCGUUGUCCGGAUUUAUUGGGCGUAAAGAGCGUGUAGGCGGCCAGGUAGGUCUGGUGUGAAAACUCGAGGCUUAACCUCGAGAUGUCAUCGGAAACCAUCUGGCUAGAGUCCGGAAGAGGCGAGUGGAACUCCUGGUGUAGCGGUGGAAUGCGCAGAUAUCAGGAAGAACACCAACGGCGAAGGCAGCCCCCUGGGCUAACACUGACGCUCAUGCACGAAAGCGUGGGGAGCAAACAGG
rnacentral:rRNA from 1 species